UACGGGGGGGGCAAGCGUUGUUCGGAAUUACUGGGCGUAAAGGGCUCGUAGGCGGCCAACUAAGUCGGAUGUGAAAUCCCCAGGCUUAACCUGGGAACUGCAUCCGAUACUGGAUGGCUUGAAUUCGGGAGAGGAAUGCAGAAUUCCAGGUGUAGCGGUGAAAUGCGUAGAUAUCUGGAGGAAUACCGGUGGCGAAGGCGGCAUCCUGGACCGAGAUUGACGCUGAUGAGCGAAAGCUAGGGGAGCAAACGGG
rnacentral:rRNA from 1 species